rnacentral:rRNA from 1 species
AACGAACGCUGGCGGCAUGCCUAACACAUGCAAGUCGAACGAGACCUUCGGGUCUAGUGGCGCACGGGUGCGUAACGCGUUGGAACCUGCCCUUAGGUUCGGAAUAACUCCCCGAAAGGGGUGCUAAUACCGGAUAUUGUCUUCGGACCAAAGAUUUAUCGCCUUUGGAUGGGCCCGCGUUGGAUUAGCUAGUUGGUAGGGUAAAAGCCUACCAAGGCUACGAUCCAUAGCUGGUCUGAGAGGAUGAUAAGCCACACUGGGACUGAGACACGGCCCAGACUACUACGGGAGGGAGGAGUGGGGAAUAAAGGAAAAUGGGCGAAAGCCUGAACAAGAAAUGCCGCGUGAGUGAUGAAGGCAUUAGGGUUGUAAAGCUAUAUUAAAAGGGAAGAUAAUGACAGUAACGGGAGAAUAAGCACCGGCUAACUCCGUG